GCCGGAAGGUAGGUUUAUUGUUUAAUCCCAUUAGUGCUUGUAUCUUUUUAGGUGAAUUCAGCUACAGCUUAGGUCCACUUGCCUGCCUUUCAAAAGCAAAUUGUAACGUGGUAACUACUGGACUUGGACUGGAUGUUUGGCCAGGUCAUAUUUUUGUAAAACUGAACUAAACCACACACGGGAGCUCAUAAUUCAUCAACCCUAGGGUAACCGAUGGACAAUCUAACCAUUUCUAUUACAUACAUCAUGCCGGGAAGGUCUUGCAUAAGAAAACAACACUCCGCACAUUGAAUGACCAUCGUAGAAACCCACCUAAAAUAAAUUUUAAAAUCGGAAUCCUGAUUUACAAGACUACAGUGUCGACCCA